GGGGCUGUGGCUCAGCCGUAGAGCACUCGCCUAGCCUGUGAGAGGCACUGGGUUCGAUCCUCACGCCACA
rnacentral:tRNA from 1 species